rnacentral:rRNA from 1 species
AGUCGAACGCGCAGCGAAAGGUGCUUGCACCUUUCAAGCGAGUGGCGAACGGGUGAGUAACACGUGGAUAACCUGCCUCAAGGCUGGGGAUAACAUUUGGAAACAGAUGCUAAUACCGAAUAAAACUUAGUAUCGCAUGAUACAAAGUUGAAAGGCGCUACGGCGUCACCUAGAGAUGGGUCCGCGGUGCAUUAGUUAGUUGGUGGGGUAAAGGCCUACCAAGACAAUGAUGCAUAGCCGAGUUGAGAGACUGAUCGGCCACAUUGGGACUGAGACACGGCCCAAACUCCUACGGGAGGCUGCAGUAGGGAAUCUUCCACAAUGGGCGCAAGCCUGAUGGAGCAACGCCGCGUGUGUGAUGAAGGCUUUCGGGUCGUAAAGCACUGUUGUAUGGGAAGAAAUGCUAGAAUAGGGAAUGAUUCUAGUUCGACGGUACCAUACCAGAAAGGGACGGCUAAAUACGUGCCAGCAGCCGCGGUAAUACGUAUGUCCCGAGCGUUAUCCGGAUUUAUUGGGCGUAAAGCGAGCGCAGACGGUUGAUUAAGUCUGAUGUGAAAGCCCGGAGCUCAACUCCGGAAUGGCAUUGGAAACUGGUUAACUUGAGUGUUGUAGAGGUAAGUGGAACUCCAUGUGUAGCGGUGGAAUGCGUAGAUAUAUGGAAGAACACCAGUGGCGAAGGCGGCUUACUGGACAACAACUGACGUUGAGGCUCGAAAGUGUGGGUAGCAAACAGGAUUAGAUACCCUGGUAGUCCACACCGUAAACGAUGAAUACUAGGUGUUAGGAGGUUUCCGCCUCUUAGUGCC